rnacentral:rRNA from 1 species
AUGCAAGGUCCUAUGGAACCCCGGAUAAUUAAUGGAGUCGAAAUCGUUUUUGGCACUAGAAGUGAAUGUGAUGUCCCAAGCUGGGAGUGUCCUCAUUGCCAUCAGAAGAUGAAAACUAUAAGAUUCCUUGUGUUUGAUUUCCCACCAUUGUACUGUGUUGGCUGUAAAUCUAUGAACCCAAAUAACUUUAGUUUAAACCUUGCAACUGUCUUGAUGAAUGGAAUUUCGAUUGUGGGUGAAGUCAAAGAACAAAAAAUCAAAGUAGGCGAUCCUGGUAAGUUCUUUUGUGCAUUUCAAAUCUGUCGUACAACAUCUGUUCUGCCUAUGGUAGUUUUCGUUCUUCCUCCUGACCAAUUUUGUGCUGAUUAA